rnacentral:rRNA from 1 species
GGACGAACGCUGGCGGCGUGCUUAACACAUGCAAGUCGAGCGGUAAGGCCCUUCGGGGUACACGAGCGGCGAACGGGUGAGUAACACGUGGGUGAUCUGCCCUGCACUUCGGGAUAAGCCUGGGAAACUGGGUCUAAUACCGGAUAUGAGCCUCCACUGCAUGGUGGGGGUUGGAAAGGUUUACUGGUGCAGGAUGGGCCCGCGGCCUAUCAGCUUGUUGGUGGGGUAAUGGCCUACCAAGGCGACGACGGGUAGCCGGCCUGAGAGGGCGACCGGCCACACUGGGACUGAGACACGGCCCAGACUCCUACGGGAGGCAGCAGUGGGGAAUAUUGCACAAUGGGCGAAAGCCUGAUGCAGCGACGCCGCGUGAGGGAUGACGGCCUUCGGGUUGUAAACCUCUUUCAGCAGGGACGAAGCGAGAGUGACGGUACCUGCAGAAGAAGCACCGGCCAACUAC